ACAUGCUCUAUCUGUGGGAUGGAACCAGAAGAUGGAUAUCACGCAGUCAUGAGAUGCACAAAAGCUAAAGCCCUUCCUGACACCAUGCGUGAGGUCUGGAACCUUCCCCGGGACACUGAUCUCACAUGUACGGGGCGUGAGUGGGUCCUUCUAACUCUUGAUAAGGCGAGUGAGGAGGAGCGUACACACCUCCUCUUCAUCUGGUGGCGAGCAUGGCACCUUAGAAAUAACAUUAUAUUUGGUGACGGGAAAGAUACA
rnacentral:rRNA from 1 species